rnacentral:rRNA from 1 species
CAGCCGCCGCGGUAAUACGGAGGGCGCGAGCGUUGUCCGGAUUCACUGGGUGUAAAGCGGGUGUAGGCGGUCGGGUAAGUCGGACGUGAAAGCCCGGGGCUCAACCCCGGAAGGGCGUCCGAACCUGCUCGACUUGAGGGCGGGAGAGGGAGGUGGAAUUCCCGGUGUAGCGGUGAAAUGCGUAGAUAUCGGGGGGACCACCAGGGGCGAAGGCGGCCUCCUGGCCCGGUCCUGACGCGGAGACCCGAAAGCGUGGGGAGCAAACCGGAUUAGAUACCCGGGUAGGCCACGCCGUAAACGGUGGGCACUAGGUGUGGGGGGUUAAUCCCUCCGUGCCGAAGCUAACGCAUUAAGUGCCCCGCCUGGGGAGUACGGCCGCAAGGUUGAAACUUAAAGGAAUUGGCGGG